AAAGUCGUAACAAGGUAUCCGUAGGUGAACCUGCGGAUGGAUCAUUACCAAUUUUUAAAUUUUAGUUUGUAAUGUCUCUUUACGGAGGCUUUACACAACUACUAUUGUAAACGUUGAACUAGAUUGUUCGGUGUGGAUUGCUUGGGAAUGGAUCGAGUUUAUUCUCUUUCCGGACAGGCAAACCCCACACUGAUUACCAUUUAUAUAUACUAUUUACUAGUACAUACUACCAAAAACAAAACAAACAAAACCAUUAGGACUUAUAAACGGUUGAGUGGGUAAAAUCCUCAACUAUAAAAUAUAACUAAUACAACUUUCAGCAAUGGAUCUCUAGGCUCUC
rnacentral:misc_RNA from 1 species